rnacentral:lncRNA from 1 species
AGGCAUGUUUGAAGGCAGGAUUGUGCACAUGGAUAAGGUAAACGAAAAACCAAUACAUCAAAAGUUUAAAAUGUGCUUUUUUUCAACUUAAAAUUUCUUCUUUAGCCUUUUUAACCAGUGCUUCAGAGACAUUGAUUAACAUUUUUCAUUUUAGAAAUAAUGAAUAAAGGUAUUCUUCGCAAUUACUAUCACACUUGGUUUGUUCCAAGAAAUCAUGUAUGACCUCUCAGACAAUCUAUGAUGAAUGAUACAAUAUCACAUGAACACAUUCACUCAUCACAUUCUCUUGAUAUUUUCCCCCAAUAAAUAGACCCUUGAUUCCACGCAAGGCAAAACUUAAGAAGAACAUGGCUCAUUUGGUGCACUCAAGCUCUCAUAUCCUUUCUCAUCUCCAUAAGAUCCCUUAUGCGACAUGCAAAAGUACAAAAGGGUUGCAUGAUAUAUGCCGACAAUCAAAGUAAUCACCUUGAGUCACAAAGGAAUUACCCCUCAGAGAAUGAACUUGAGCUUCCAAUUCCAUCUUGGAUACAACGUAUGAUUAAAUCUUCAACAAAGGAUCACAACAAGAUUAAUAAGAAUAUACUAAUAUAGAAGAAAACUACAAUUUUUAGGAAUAAUAAUAUAUACUCUUAAAUAGGGAAAGAUUGAAAAUGGUUGAAUAAACUCUAAGUGAAGGAUUAGAGUUCAUGAGACUUGUUCCAUCCCUCAUGGGUGACAAAACCUUAUAUAAAAGUGGUAAGGUUUUAGACUCAAAGAACAAUGUUAAAAACGUAAUGUACAGAGAGAAGGAUAAACCUUAGCAAUGAAGAAUAAGAAGUCAAAUAGAUAUUGUGAUGAGUGUUUUUGACCAUUUGAGAGUUGUUCAUGAUCAAGGGUUUGAUAAAUACCAAUAAUGGUUCAUUUGAGAAGUAAAAAUGAUAGUACUGUGGUUUUCAUUAGAGUAAAUUUAAUGUUGCAUCUUGUUUGCUACAAAAUAACGAUAGCUUCAUCUUGUUUUAUAAAAAAUUUCAAUUUUGCAGGCUACAUGUGGCAUUAAAGAAUAAAUGUAAACUUUAUAACAACGUAAUAUAAGGGAUUAACUAUAAAUAAA